AGUCGAACGGAAAGGCCUGCAGCUUGCUGCGGGUACUCGAGUGGCGAACGGGUGAGUAACACGUGGGUGAUCUGCCUUGCACUUCGGGAUAAGCUUGGGAAACUGGGUCUAGUACCGGAUAGGACAGCUGUUUAGUGUCAGUUGUGGAAAGUUUUUUCGGUGCAAGAUGAGCUCGCGGCCUAUCAGCUUGUUGGUGGGGUAAUGGCCUACCAAGGCGUCGACGGGUAGCCGGCCUGAGAGGGUGUACGGCCACAUUGGGACUGAGAUACGGCCCAGACUCCUACGGGAGGCAGCAGUGGGGAAUAUUGCACAAUGGGCGGAAGCCUGAUGCAGCGACGCCGCGUGGGGGAUGAAGGCCUUCGGGUUGUAAACUCCUUUCGACAGGGACGAAGCGUAAGUGACGGUACCUGUAUAAGAAGCACCGGCUAACUACGUGCCAGCAGCCGCGGUAAUACGUAGGGUGCGAGCGUUGUCCGGAAUUACUGGGCGUAAAGAGCUCGUAGGUGGUUUGUCGCGUCGUCUGUGAAAUUCCGGGGCUUAACUCCGGGCGUGCAGGCGAUACGGGCUGACUUGAGUGCUGUAGGGGAGACUGGAAUUCCUGGUGUAGCGGUGAAAUGCGCAGAUAUCAGGAGGAACACCGAUGGCGAAGGCAGGUCUCUGGGCAGUAACUGACGCUGAGGAGCGAAAGCAUGGGUAGCGAACAGGAUUAGAUACCCUGGUAGUCCAUGCCGUAAACGGUGGGCGCUAGGUGUAGGGGGCUUCCACGUCUUCUGUGCCGUAGCUAACGCAUUAAGCGCCCCGCCUGGGGAGUACGCCGCAAGGCUA
rnacentral:rRNA from 1 species